CCUACGGGAGGCAGCAGUGAGGAAUAUUGGUCAAUGGGCGUAAGCCUGAACCAGCCAAGUCGCGUGAGGGAUGAAGGUUCUAUGGAUCGUAAACCUCUUUUAUAAGGGAAUAAAGUGCGGGACGUGUCCCGUUUUGUAUGUACCUUAUGAAUAAGGAUCGGCUAACUCCGUGCCAGCAGCCGCGGUAAUACGGAGGAUCCGAGCGUUAUCCGGAUUUAUUGGGUUUAACGGGUGCGUAGGCGGCCUUUUAAGUCAGCGGUGAAAGUCUGUGGCUCAACCAUAGAAUUGCCGUUGAAACUGGGAGGCUUGAGUAUGUUUGAGGCAGGCGGAAUGCGUGGUGUAGCGGUGAAAUGCUUAGAUAUCACGCAGAACCCCGAUUGCGAAGGCAGCCUGCCAAGCCAUGACUGACAUUGAUGCUCGAAAGUGUGGGUAUCAAACAGGAUUAGAUACCCUAGUAGUC
rnacentral:rRNA from 1 species